AAGUCGUAACAAGGUUUCCGUAGGUGAACCUGCGGAAGGAUCAUUAACGAGUAAGGGUCCUGACCGGCCCGACCUCCAACCCUUUGUCGUUGAAAAACCACUGUUGCUUUGGCGGGACAGCGGGUCCCCAGGGGCCCGCCGCCGGUCUUCGCCGGCCGAGCGCCUGCCAGAGUCCCAAACCAUAAACAUCCUUAGUUCACAGAACAGUAACGUCUGAGUAAAUUGAUAAAUCAAUCAAAA
rnacentral:misc_RNA from 1 species